rnacentral:rRNA from 1 species
UACGAAGGGGGCUAGCGUUGCUCGGAAUCAUUGGGCGUAAAGGGCUCGUAGGCGGUUUGUCACGUCAGGAGUGAAAACUCGGGGCUCAACCCCGAGCCUGCUUCUGAUACGGGCAGACUGGAGGUAUGCAGGGGAGAACGGAAUUCCUGGUGUAGCGGUGAAAUGCGCAGAUAUCAGGAGGAACACCGGUGGCGAAGGCGGUUCUCUGGGCAUUACCUGACGCUGAGGAGCGAAAGUGUGGGGAGCGAACAGG